AGUGAACGCUGGCGGUAGGCCUAACACAUGCAAGUCGAACGGCAGCACAGUAAGAGCUUGCUCUUACGGGUGGCGAGUGGCGGACGGGUGAGGAAUACAUCGGAAUCUACUUUUUCGUGGGGGAUAACGUAGGGAAACUUACGCUAAUACCGCAUACGACCUACGGGUGAAAGCAGGGGAUCUUCGGACCUUGCGCGAUUGAAUGAGCCGAUGUCGGAUUAGCUAGUUGGCGGGGUAAAGGCCCACCAAGGCGACGAUCCGUAGCUGGUCUGAGAGGAUGAUCAGCCACACUGGAACUGAGACACGGUCCAGACUCCUACGGGAGGCAGCAGUGGGGAAUAUUGGACAAUGGGCGCAAGCCUGAUCCAACCAUACCGCGUGGGUGAAGAAGGCCUUCGGGUUGUAAAGCCCUUUUGUUGGGAAAGAAAAGCAGCAGGUUAAUACCCCGCUGUUCUGACGGUACCCAAAGAAUAAGCACCGGCUAACUUCGU
rnacentral:rRNA from 1 species